rnacentral:rRNA from 1 species
GUCCCAGUUCGGACUGUAGUCUGCAACCCGACUACACGAAGCUGGAAUCGCUAGUAAUCGCGAAUCAGAAUGUCGCGGUGAGUACGUUCCCGGGUCUUGUACACACCGCCCGUCACACCAUGGGAGUCGGAAAUGCCCGAAGUCAGUGACCCAACCGUAAGGAGGGAGCUGCCGAAGGUGGAGCCGGUAACUGGGGUGAAGUCGUAACAAGGUACC